AGCCUCACGUCGAGGACGUCACCACACGUCACGGGCGACUGUUGUCCAUCAGCGCAUGCGCAAGAAGGGUCAUCCAGGAGGGAUGAAAUAGAUCCAGAAGCUCCCGUUGCGAGUGAGAGGAGCUUCUGUCAAAAGUUUUUCUCGACCUUGUCAUGGAUGACGCGGAGAAAUGAGAUGGGUGAGAAGCUCUCAGAACCCCCCCCGGCAAGCACUCCACCAGGAUGUUCAGGGAGAAGAAUAUGCAGACACCUGCUUCUUGAAGACGAGAUAACCCUGUUCUCAGUCUCUCAUCGGAGUCUUUUUGUGUGGUUCCCCAGAUGAGAACGUCAUUCAUCUGACACGAAACCCUUUCCAGACCUUCCAGGAUGCGUAACAUUCGCUUCUGGAAGUAUUACGCUCUCUUCUGUCAGAAGAAAAUGUGGUGGAAAAACGAGCAAUAAUCACAAUAAAAGUUUUAUUUUCA